rnacentral:rRNA from 1 species
CCUGGCUCAGGACGAACGCUGGCGGCACGCUUAACACAUGCAAGUCGAACGAGAGAAGAGAAGCUUGCUUUUCUGAUCUAGUGACGGACGGGUGAGUAACACGUGAGCAAUCUGCCUUUCAGAGGGGGAUACCGAUUGGAAACGAUCGUUAAUACCGCAUAACAUAAUUGAACCGCAUGAUUUGAUUAUCAAAGAUUUAUCGCUGAAAGAUGAGCUCGCGUCUGAUUAGCUAGUUGGUAAGGUAACGGCUUACCAAGGCGACGAUCAGUAGCCGGACUGAGAGGUUGAUCGGCCACAUUGGGACUGAGACACGGCCCAGACUCCUACGGGAGGCAGCAGUGGGGAAUAUUGCACAAUGGAGGAAACUCUGAUGCAGCGAUGCCGCGUGAGGGAAGAAGGUUUUAGGAUUGUAAACCUCUGUCUUCAGGGACGAAAAAAGACGGUACCUGAGGAGGAAGCUCCGGCUAACUACGUGCCAGCAGCCGCGGUAAUACGUAGGGAGCGAGCGUUGUCCGGAAUUACUGGGUGUAAAGGGAGCGUAGGCGGGAUCGCAAGUCAGAUGUGAAAACUAUGGGCUUAACCCAUAAACUGCAUUUGAAACUGUGGUUCUUGAGUGAAGUAGAGGUAAGCGGAAUUCCUAGUGUAGCGGUGAAAUGCGUAGAUAUUAGGAGGAACAUCAGUGGCGAAGGCGGCUUACUGGGCUUUAACUGACGCUGAGGCUCGAAAGCGUGGGGAGCAAACAGGAUUAGAUACCCUGGUAGUCCACGCCGUAAACGAUGAUUACUAGGUGUGGGGGGACUGACCCCUUCCGUGCCGCAGCAAACGCAAUAAGUAAUCCACCUGGGGAGUACGACCGCAAGGUUGAAACUCAAAGGAAUUGACGGGGGCCCGCACAAGCAGUGGAGUAUGUGGAUUAAUUCGAAGCAACGCGAAGAACCUUACCAGGUCUUGACAUCGUAUGCAUAGCUCAGAGAUGAGUGAAAUCUCUUCGGAGACAUAUAGACAGGUGGUGCAUGGUUGUCGUCAGCUCGUGUCGUGAGAUGUUGGGUUAAGUCCCGCAACGAGCGCAACCCUUACUGUUAGUUGCUACGCAAGAGCACUCUAGCAGGACUGCCGUUGACAAAACGGAGGAAGGUGGGGAUGACGUCAAAUCAUCAUGCCCUUUAUGACCUGGGCCUCACACGUACUACAAUGGCUGUCAACAGAGGGAAGCAAAGCCGCGAGGUGGAGCAAACCCCUAAAAGCAGUCUUAGUUCGGAUUGUAGGCUGCAACCCGCCUACAUGAAGUCGGAAUUGCUAGUAAUCGCAGAUCAGCAUGCUGCGGUGAAUACGUUCCCGGGCCU